AAGGGCUCUCAUUUCUCACUUAAUGAAGAGUAAGAGUGAUGAUAGUGAUGAUGAUGAUGAUGACAGCAACAGUCUACUGAGCAUUUACCAUGUACCAGGCACUUGGCAUACAUCAUCUCAUUUAAUCCUCCUUCUUAAAAGUGCACAAAAUUUCAGGAGGCCCUCUCUCUCAGGGCUGUGCAGGUGCAGGGGGGUUGUGGGGGCGAGCACCUCAUUAAUGUUUGUGCCGGGGGCCAUCACUUGCUCAUCCUGGUCCUGGCCCUGCUCACAACAAUCCUGUAAUGUAGGUGGUGUCUUGAAUGACAGCAUCAAACCUCAGAGCGAAGUGACUUGUUCUGGGGCACAUAACUCGUAAGAAGCAGAGUGGAGGUUUGAACUGGGGUCUGUUUGAUUCUUAAUCUUAUGUGCUUAUGACGUCCUUUCCAUCCAGUGAUAAACGGAGACUCAAACAGAUUGGGUGACUUGCCUCAGGCUACUGCAAUGUAGGGGCAGCCUAAGGUACAGUCAUCUGGGAAAUGUUUGUUGAUUGAACUAAUUCGAAAGUGGCUCCUGAAGACAGGAAGUGAACUGGUAAGGAGGCCAGAAGUGAAAGGCCCCAGGUGGCCAGAGCCUUCCACUUGGAUGGCUUCCUGUUUACUUAUUCUAGGGGAAAAAACAUAAAAAUACAAAUGGAACAUCUGACAGCAAAGCAAGGCUGUGUGAUAAUUCUAUUCCCAGAUCAAAUCAUAGCGCAGGGAAUGCGUUAUCAUCAACGUGAUUACCUUGGGGGGAACAGAGACAGGGAGUUUUAUUAAAUGAGACAAUCUUGCUAAAAGGGAGCCUUACAUUAGACUUUGGGCCUUAAAUAAUAUUAGUGUCAAGAGCUAACACACAUUCCUCACACUGCGUCUGGGAGCGCACCACCUCCCAGCAAGCAGCCCUGGGGGAGACACCUGUGCUGGAACAUCCCUGGCGGUGGUGGGCGGAGCAGCCACUGGUUCAGUGUCCACACAUUCCUAGGCUGUGGCUCUUUGCCAUGAAAUAGAAAUAUAGAGUUCAGGCCCAACUUUUCUCUCAGGCCAGCAGGCACCUCCUUCCUGGUGAUGCUGGGACCCGGGGACCCUCUGCAGCUCCAUGGAGAGGGGCCCUGUCUUUUCUGCCCUGGGCACAAUGAUCUUGAAACUCAACAGUCCCCUGGUGGAGGCAAAUAAUUAGUUUCUAGAUGGGAUUCCCCUCCCCGCCAGGCAGUGUUCCUGGGCUGCCCUGGUGCGGCGCUCCUUCUCUUCCUUGUGCCUUGCUCCCUCCACUAUCUCUCCACCUCGCUCCCUCUCUGAGUGUCUCUGGCUCUGAAGGGAGACCCGGAGUUUGCAUCACCCAGUGGUUCAGAGCACAGUCUUCAAAGCCAUGAAGGUCUGGGAGGUCUGAGCUCAAGUCCUGCUUCACCAACCCUGUGACCUUGGGCACCUUACUUGGUUUUUUUGGAUGUAAGUAUCCUUGUCUGUAAAAUGGUUAACUGGUAUCAACCCCACAGGUUUGUUCCGGGGACUGAAUGAGUUAGUCUGUGUAAAGUUCCUAUACCAGUGCCUGGCAUACAGGAAGUGCCCAAGUCAUAUCCUUUCCACUCUGUCUUGGUUCCUGUCCCCGCCUGUCCCUCCUCCCUUUCACCACCCACUAUAUGCCCAUCUCCCAGGAAGGAUGAUGGGUUGCUGGAAGGCAAACUUCUCCAGCCCAUGGUGGGAGAAAAGCAUUUCAUGGAGCUUUAUUCCAUGCAGAUUAUAGAUCUGGGAGCUCCCAGAAGUCACCCAGUAUAGCUCCUCUUAUAGAUGGGGAAACUGAGGCUCCAGAUAGGGGCUGGGAUGUGUCUGUGCAGAUUUCCUCCAGAUUGGUAGAUCUGUUCAAUCUCUGCCUCUCCUUUUUCUCUCAACUAUAGGAUAAAUUAUAGAGUGCUGGUAAGAGCAAUAGUUCUCAUUCAGCAAAAACUUAAGUGUGCUGGGCCCUGCACUAAGUUUGAUAGAAUGAUACUGCCAUAUAACCAUUGAGAUGAUGGUCCCAGUUGUAGAGGAGAAAAGUGAGACUCAGAGUGGUUACUCAGCUGGUCCAGAUUGUACACUUAAUAGGUAGAGCCAGUCCUGGAAGCCCUGUGUGUCUCACGCGGGGGCUGCUCAGACACAAAUGGCAGUUCCUGAGGCCACAAAGCAGAGGAUGACCAGUCUCAAGGCAAGGACAGCCUGGGUCUCAGACUCCAUUUUUAUUCUCUGUUGACCUUGAAGAAGUCAAUUAACCUGUCUGUGUCUCGGAUACAUGGCUUGUAAGGUGGAGGUGAUAAUUUGCAAGAUAGUGCCUAUGCUGAUUAUUGUGAAGCCACUGCUCCCGGAAUCUUGGGCUGAAGGGACUCUAGGGAUCAUUCCAUCCAGCCCCUAUUCUACUCCAUGCCCAGAGGGAUUAGGCAACUUGCUGGGUAGGAGGCAGAAGGGUUGGAGCAGGGAUUUGGUUUGUGGCUGUGGGAUGUCAGGGGUAUACUGUGUGAUCAUAUGAUUUUCGGUUCUUCUCUUAGAGCAGCUUGUAUCUUUCCAAUACCAGCUCCACUGACUCCUCUGUGGCCCUGUCACCCUCUCUGCCAGGUGCUUCUGUGUCACUGCCACACCCCCUCCACCACCCCUGGAGUACUCUUCCUCCUACUUAAAAAGGGAACUGGUAGAGCAGCAGGUCAGGACUAGGCUGUAGGGAGCUCUGGGCUCCAGUCUGAUAUUGAUGGAGUGUCUGCAUUCUGUAAGCCUCUUCCUCUUUCUGCCUCUCGGCAUCAGAAGGGACCGUGGUCUUUUCUGUUAAAAGCUGGGCAAGUUUAUCUUUCUCCAAACUGUAGUCUAUGCGUAUCUUCAACACUUCUAGGCGUUGCACAGAACAGCAACUCAUCAUCAGAUGAGUUUGGGGAAGGCUGGGUUAAAUGAAGUUCAGCAGCUUUUUUCCCUCUCUUCUUUAUUAAAAUAAUUGAUUUAAUUUCAAAGAAAAUGCAUACUCACUGAGACACACAGGAAGUGCAGAGUCAUAUAAAGCAAACACAGAUCAUCACCACUCUUCAUCAUUCUCACUUUGCAGGGCAAGCAGUGUUUCCUUGCAUGUCUCUCUCUGUGCUUAUAAAAUACAUGUGCAAACACUCUCACACACAUAUAUAGGAUGCUUAAGCAAGUUGGUUUUGUUUUCUCCUGAAAGCCUUGUCUGGGCCUGGAAUGUGCAAUAGCCCUCAAUCUUCAGAACCAGCCUUGCUGCACAGCUUUCCCAAGUCCUGGGCCCUUUGCAUCCACAGAGCGUCUUGGGGAAACCUUUGGGCAAGGCUGGACUAGACGUCCUAACACAUGGGCUUUGCUGACCCCAGCUCAGCAGGGGAGGCUCUAACGGCAGGUGGUGGGUACCGGGCUGCUAAGGAUAAACAACCAUCUGUGAAUAAGGACACUGUGGGGCCAACUGGCCAAUGCCCUGGGAGUUGGCUCAGUUGUGGAAGCUCUGGGUCUGUGGGAGUGAAUGUCGUUGUCAGGGGCCAGGGGCUAGGGGCUUGGGAGCUGACCUGGCUCUUGCCUUGUCCUGGAGCAUGCUGUGAACAGCCACCGCCUGCAGGGAGCCAGGCAGACCCACUGAAAAGUGCAGUGCACGUGUUGGUACCUGUGUCCAAGGAGGCACAACAGGCCCACUUGGCCCCCAGAGGCCUCUCCCACCCUCCAUGUCCCUUCUGAUUUUAGGUUGGAUAAAUGAUCUGUCAUGGUGAUUCCAGCAGAGCUUGCCUGUGCUGAGUAGAUCUAUGCUCUGCGCAUCACUUUCACCCUGAGGCUCUGGGGACAGGGACAAGCCUGGGGUCACACAGGGAGUUUUUGGUAGGGCCAGUCCACACUCUAGGGCUCAGGUGAAUUCAGGUGAGCUACCAUACUUUCUGGGGAGUCAGACUUAGGUGCCAGAAGACUUUGGGUUGAGUCCUGGUUCUUCUACCCAAAUGCAGAUUCUAAGGAAGCUCCUAACUUCCUGUCUGAGUCUCAAUUUCCCAAGCUGGCUGGCACUGGUUCUUAGUCUAGCCCCUUUGAAGAGUAUGGAAUGGGUCCUCACGGUCGUGUGGAAGUGCCCGUGUGGCAGUGUUGUGUAGAGAUUGGGGUGGGACUUGAGAAUCGUGGUUCAUUUGUGAGGUCUAUUGGGCUCAUACACUGUGCUGGGUUUGGGAGGAUGGAGGUGAUGGAGAUGGGAGAAGAGCAGGCAGGCAUUCUCUGGAAGCAUCCAGCCUGCCUGAGGGGUCAAGAUGCAGUCCUGGGAGGCACAUGGAGACUGACCGCAUCCAGGCAAACAUCGGAGGAGGUGGGUCCCGGGCAGUUGUUAGGAACCAGCCUAGAUGGUUUUGCUGGGAAGUAUCUUGGGAGCUGCCAAGAAUGAGGGGCUGCAGACAUUCACCUCUGCUGUGGGUGCAGUUCUCAUUCAAGAACUAGGUGGUGGCAGCCACCUACCUCCACCACGGGGAGAGAACAACACACCGGCCUCUGUCCUUAUGAUAGGCUCCCACAGGCCAGAGCCUAUGGAGGGAUAAACUUCGCUAAUCGUUAAUUACCAUCCGUGGUGCGAUUUUAUGAGUUUCCAGAUAAAUGCUCUCUGAGGGAGUGUCAGCAUUACGGACUCCCAGUUUAAUGAUCUGGGGUAGUGAUUUAAGGGGUGGGGUCCCAGGUGGCUGGAAGAUGGGAGCAAAAGCUGUUGGAGCCCUUCAGGAUCGAGGCCAGGGCUCCUGCCUGGCAUGGGGCAGGAAUGGCCUAAAAAUCCAAGCAUUGGCUGGAUUGCAGCUGGCUGCUCCUUCCUGUUCUCCUGAGCUUAUGCAUCCAGAGAACACACUCCCUGCCUGCUGGCUGCACCCAUUGACCCCAGGCUCCAGCCAGGCAUCAUGGGACUUUUGGGAGUGGGAGAUUUGAGAGUCGUUCUGUCUGCCAGCUGCCAGCUGCUAUGGCCCACCUGUCUGGCAGCCGUGCACCUGUUAGCUCUUCUUCAAGGCAGGGUGCUCGUCAGGACUGCCCUCUCCCUUUCUCAGUACACAUCUCCACCUGCCACGUCCUACCUGCCCUUUUGCCCUCCCAGAAGCCCCUGCACGCUGCACAACCCCUCUCCUAGCUCUCCACUGGUCUUUCUUGAUCCAGGGACGUUUUCAAGUCUUCCUGAUUCCCUGCCCAGGCUGGAAGCCCAGGCUGGGGCAGUGGGGGAUGUCCCUAAACCUCCCAGAGCCAGACGUGUAGUGGGCACAUGGGAUUCCUCCACUUAGCUUUCACUGUAUUUAGCUUUCUUUUAGGGAGAAGGGCUGCCCCAGGUGGAAAAGAGCUGAGGUUGCCCCUCCCUGAGCCCUACUCUGUGCUGCAUGCUGGGCCCCGGGCCAGGCUCUUGCUGUGCCUUUGCACAGGGUUAAGCGCAGGAUUCUGGAGCAGGACUCCUGGGCUCAGCUCCCAUCUCUGCCGAACAUAAACUUGGUGACCUAGGCAAGAGACUCAGUCUUUUUGUGCCUGAAUUCCCUCAUCUGUAAAUGUAGACUGCAGUCGCAUCUACUGCAUGGGGUUAUUGUGGGGGUCAAAUGAGUCAACGCGUAGAAAGUUCUUCUUCUGGUUUCAGCAUGUAGACUGGGCUCUAGUUUGCUGUCAUUAGCACAUCUACAUGAAUCCUUACAAACUCUGAGUGGAUGCACCUGGUUUGAUGACAGGCAGCACGGCCGCCAAAGGUUUGCAUACCGGCGGGUCAGCCAUGCUCGGAUCUGGUGCUCGACUUGCAAUAGGACCUGGGAACUUUGAAUUUCCUGAGUCUGAAUUUCCUCGUCUGUGAGAUGCCAAUCAUAAUAAUCGCAGCUACCUCUUAGGAUUACUGUUCUGAUGAACUAAGUUCACACCCAUAAGGUAGGAUCACAAAGUGCCUGGCACGAAGCAAGCUCUCAGUAAACACUGACACUCCCAUUACACAGAUGGGGAAACAAAGUCUCGGUGGAAAAGGGACUUAUCUGCCCGAGGUAGUCACUAAACUCAGUUCCAUCUGAGUGCAAAGGCCAGGCAUGUUCCUUCCCACCCCCCUCCACCCACCACGGACAGGGGUCACGUUCAGACCUUCUCAGACCCUGAAGCCCUCUCUUCAAGAACUCAUAAUUGGAAAACCUUGACCACCCUCCUCCUGACCCAGCAUGCUUAUUAGCUGGUUGAACCUGGGUGAAUUAAAGUUGCUGCGGGCACUCUAUCUUCCAGGAAACAGGGCCAGCCAAGACCACUCUGCCAACCUUGGUGGGUGUGACAGGUCCCUGGGUAAUCAGUUCCCUUUAUGACCAAGGCCACCAAUUUUCUCCCUCUUAGAUUCCCUCAUCUGAAGCCUGGUGCAUCCACUCAGCACCUGGUCAGGAAGCCGGGCCAAUUUUCCUCCCUUUUGAUUUCAUUCUGCUCCUGUCUGGCUGCCCAGCCACAUGGAGAGUUUGUCAAGUGCCAUUUCUGUCUCUUGCAGCCGCCUUGCCCUCUGCAGAGUGCCGAACGGGCAAGCAGGAUCACCCGGCUCAGUGCCGCAGACAUCACUCUCCUGUGAUAAGGGCCAGCACGCACCCUUGAAUGAGGAGCCUGUCAUUCUUCAUAGUCACCAGGCAGCUGGCAGGCAAGGCCGCCUCACAGACUCAGAGUGGGAGCACGGGAUGGCAUCAGACAGCGGGGGUGGCUGGCAGUGGGCCCUUGAACUCACAGGCUUGGGAGGACGCAGAUUUGGGUCCCGCAAAGGGCUGGGUGUAGGGUUGCUGGAAUAACAGAGGUCCCUGCUGCUGCUCACCCGUGUGACCCAGCAUCACCAGGAGAUACUGCUAGGAUGAGGCAGCUCAAACUCAAGUCUCAGCUGCCACCAUUGCUUUUUUUUUUUGAGAUGGAGUCUUACUCUGUUGCCUAGGCUAGAGUGCAGUGGACCGAUCUCAGCUCACUGCAACCUCUGCCUCCUGGGUUCAAGCCAUUCUCCUGCUUCAGUUUCCUGCGUAACUGGGAUUACAGGCACCCACCACCAUGUCCGGCUAAUUUUUGUAUUUUUAGUAGAGACAGGGUUUCACGAUGUUGGCCAGGCUGAUCUCAAACUCCUGACCUCAGGUGAUCCACCCACUUUGGCCUCCCAAAGUGCCAGGAUUACAGGCGUAAGCCACUGCACCUGGCCAGCUGGCACCAUUGUUAAUAACCAUUAAGUCACAUUUCAUCACACGUAGGUGCCAAACUUGACGCUUUUGAAAUAUGCCUGAGUAUUCUUUGACAUGCCUCCCCUUGAAUGUGGGCUGGAUUUCGUGACUUGACUUGCUGUUUCCCCUCCUCCAAGCUGGCAGGGAACCCUGGGCAUCAUAGAAAUAACAGCAAUCUUUGCUGCUAUUCACCAAAUACCUGCUGUAGGCCAGGGACUGGGCUAGGCGGCUACCUUUUGCCCCUUAGUGACUCAUUUGAUCCUCAACCCUGUCAGUGGGGUAGCCGAUAUUAUUAACAUUCCCAUCUCAAAGAUGAGGAAACUGAGGUGCAGAGAGGUUAGCAAAUCACUUGUGGCAUCAGCCUAUAAGUCACAAAGCCAGGGUUGAGCCUCCAUGGCUCAGCCCCAGGGCCUCUUUCUUAGCCAUGGUACUACCCAGCCACAAAGACACUCUGCUGGGCGACUGACUGUGCAUCUGAGAGGGGCCAGUGGAAGAGAAAGAGCUAACAGGUUCCUGAAGGAUGGAGGGUCAGCCUCUUCCCUGGAGGAGAAUGAUGAAGCCUUGAUGGAGAGAUGGAGUUUCACUCUUGUUGCCCAGGCUGGAGUGCAAUGGCACAAUCUCAGCUCACUGGGCAACCUCUGCCUCCUGGGUUCAAGUGAAUCUCCUGCUUCAGCCUCCUGAGUAGCUGGGAUUACAGGCCCUGACAUUCUCCAGCUUCCAUGGUGUUCCUGCAAUCCAAGUGCCGCUGACCUCUCUGCAGUGACUUCCCCUGAUUCUGGCCCAGCUCCUGAAGCCUGACACCUCUGCAGGGAGUCUAUCAGGUAUUUGAAGAGUGCUUCUUAAUGCAAGAAGACUGAGAGAUGCAGGGUCACAAGUCACGGGUUCAAGUUCUGACUCUUCCAUUUCUCCAUGGUCAGCUAUAAGUCGUUGAGGCCUCUGGCCCUCGACUUCGCCUCUGGAAAUGCUGGGAACAAGACCCCUCCGGGCUUCACUAGGGUGGGACGAAAUGCUGGCCAGUGUGGCCAGCCUGGUGCCUGGCUCGUCCUGUGCUUAACAAGUGCUGUUUGAGUUUGGGGAAAAAGUCUCCACGAUCCUUCAUUAUCCCAGGGCAUUGAGGCCCUUGUGCUCUGCCAGGUAUCUCUGCUCCCUCUGCCUGGGGGCAUGUUCCAAAUCAGAAAAACAGAGAGGAAAAGAGCAGCCCUGCUCAGGUGGGGCUGGGUGGUGGAAGGGAGGUGGGAUGCGGAUGGUGUGCCACGCAAUCCCACCGUGAUUUAUAGUGUUUUGUGUUUUGGAAAACAUUGCAGUGCAAGGUUGCCCAAGGUCAGUGCCUCUGUUCUUCGAUCUCUUUAUGAAAAGGGAGAAGAGAAAGUGGGCACUGCUUCCAGUUUUUUAAGGAGUUGGCCAAGAGCCAGCACUAGGCAUCAGAGGAAGGCAGCUGACUGCAUUCGGCCACAUCCCAAUAGUGCCUGGAAGGGGAGGGAGGAAGCAGGCACUUCUGAAGGAACUACUGUGCGCCAGGCCUCAUGCUAGGAGCACUGUAAUAGGGAGCAGUGAUGGGGUCCUUGAGGUAUGGCAGACAUUGUUCUAAGCACUCUAUGUAGAGGGACUCAUUUCAUGAAUUUAAUUCUCUCUACCUCUAUGAACAUGUAUUACUGUUCCCAUUUUAUAGAUGGGUUAGCUGAGGCACAGGAAACCAAAAUAACACAUCCGGGGGCCCACAGCCAGCACGGAUGUUAUAUAAUCCCUGCCCCACAACUACUUGGAAAUAAGGAUAGUUAUUACCACCAUUUUAUCCAUGAGAACAUAGAGGCCUG